CAAACUGGUCAAAACUGGUCACAGCUGACAAGAUUAAGACGGACAAUCCUGCUACAGCACCUCUGGCGUCUUCCACUCUUGCUGCUAUACGCACCGAUCCGCCGUCAGUUGUAUCAAACCGACUUUCUCAACCACUGGACGAACGUUUAUGCCGGUUUUCUGUGACGCAAUUCCUUCAUGAAGCGUUCUCGAUCAGGGAUCCGUUUGCUGGCUGUAGCCGUCACCGUUCUCGAUCUUCAAAUUCCAAUGGGUCUGUUGGUAUCACACGAGUUUGGGAAACUAUUCAGCCAAGGGCACUCGUUUCAAUCAAACUCCACAGCUGACUGUCCUACAGGAGGAUGUCGCGUUUUCGUAAUGGACCAUGAGGUCUGCAGUGUGUUCUCUCUACUUUGUUUGAUGGCUUUUCCCAGGAGUGACUGAAUUAAUAAGGCUAAAGGAAGAGCGCUGCAGUGGUCCUACUUUGGUUUAUCGCUCUUCCCAGGAGAAACUGGAUUAAUAAGGCUAAAGGGUAAUUUUCUAGCCCCGCCCCUCAAUUUAAGGCGUUCCUUAUAUUUGCCCACCAAACAGAUGUCGCACUAACGAUUGUAUGUCUGUGUGGUUUUUUAAAAACGAGUCAUAAAUGGGGUCAACUGCACACACUAUUUUAGCAUUUUUCGUUUUCUUUAGAAAGGCAAUCGGUUGGAAUUUUAGUAGCAGUGGAAGAAUUUGUGAUGAUGUUUAUCUGGCAUUUAGCAGCACUAACAUCGUCUGCGUUCAUUAUUUCGAUAAGUAAAAAUUGAGUGUGAAGUUGGCCCCGAACUUGUUUUCUUAUUUUUCUCAUGUUAUGUAGCAGCACUAACGAUAAGCUUCGAGCACUAACGUAGCACCAACUGUGGACACAUUUUUGUCAACUUAUUUUAUGUGGGCGGGGCCAACUUCACAUGGUUCCAAUUUGGCUCGCCCGUAUGUAUCACUGCAGAUGAAUUGUCAGUUUGAAUCUGUUUUGUUUAGAACCCUGAAUUAUAUUUUGGGUGUAGAAGGAUCGUGCCAUUCCUGUUCCAAUGAUAUGGUUGAACGUUUGCAUUGCACCGUUUGGAAUUCGCAUUUCCUUGGGAGGAUUUAGGGCAGGCUAUAAGAACAUUCUGGAAAUUACCAGGAUGGCAGAAUAUUUCCAUUUACACAUAAUGCUCUUUUGGCCUGGGUGUCAAGGAAUAAAAUUUUGUAAUUAACUGUAUAUAAUGCAUAUUAGGUUUUGUAAAGGUA